CCUACGGGAGGCAGCAGUAGGGAAUCUUCCGCAAUGGACGAAAGUCUGACGGAGCAACGCCGCGUGAGUGAUGAAGGUUUUCGGAUCGUAAAGCUCUGUUGUUAGGGAAGAACAAGUGCGAGAGUAACUGCUCGCACCUUGACGGUACCUAACCAGAAAGCCACGGCUAACUACGUGCCAGCAGCCGCGGUAAUACGUAGGUGGCAAGCGUUGUCCGGAAUUAUUGGGCGUAAAGGGCUCGCAGGCGGUUUCUUAAGUCUGAUGUGAAAGCCCCCGGCUCAACCGGGGAGGGUCAUUGGAAACUGGGAAACUUGAGUGCAGAAGAGGAGAGUGGAAUUCCACGUGUAGCGGUGAAAUGCGUAGAGAUGUGGAGGAACACCAGUGGCGAAGGCGACUCUCUGGUCUGUAACUGACGCUGAGGAGCGAAAGCGUGGGGAGCGAACAGGAUUAGAUACCCUGGUAGUCCACGCCGUAAACGAUGAGUGCUAAGUGUUAGGGGGUUUCCGCCCCUUAGUGCUGCAGCUAACGCAUUAAGCACUCCGCCUGGGGAGUACGGUCGCAAGACUGAAACUCAAAGGAAUUGACGGAGC
rnacentral:rRNA from 1 species